CGCGGGGUGGAGCAGCACGGUAGCUCGUCGGGCUCAUAACCCGAAGGUCGCAGGUUCAAAUCCUAUCCCCGCAACCA
rnacentral:tRNA from 3 species